UCGAUUACUAAAAAUAGUAUUUCAAGAAAAUCCAACAGAACUGAAUUCCGUCCCAAUUGUCAACCAAACACGUCAUGAAAUGGAAUCUCGAAUUCCAAUUCUGUCGGAACCCGCGAUUCCAUUUCUUAGCUGCAGUUUCUAACAUGUAUAUUAUUACUGUUUUGAUAUGGCAGCUCAUUUCACAACUACUUCAAACAAAACGACUGCUUCUGUUUCUACUGGAUUCUGAUAUAAUUCAAAAAGGCAAGUAAGUUUACUCUUCUACCCUCACAAACUACACUACUAAUUUGACAAUUUAGAAAGAUUUUUUUUUUUGGAAAAAGAUGGUAUUAUGGUGGCUCAGUUGGACUUAAUCACAUCAUGUCAAAAUUGUUGUUUGUUGUAGACUUAAUGAGCAGCCUAAAUUUACAUUGUAUUUUCAUUUGUAUUUUAUAAUCAGUAAGGCUUAUUAUUGAUGCUCAAUAAGGUGUGUGGUUAUUGCAUUGAAUCUCAAAUAAGGAUGCUGGGUGAUUACCACUGAUUACAAAAAGAUCAUAUGAGUCUCUGACCCUGUUUGUGUAUUUCCAGAAAUACCCAUCUGUUCCUAACCUAAAACUUAUGUUUAUUUAUUAUCUUCAGGAAAUGAUGGGAUUAACACACUUCAUGUUGAUCCAAUCAAAUAAAGAUGUUGAAUAUUGCAUGGAAAACACCUUCAGCAGUUAUUUAGUAGACCUGUUUUUUUUUUUNUUUUUGAAAAAAA
rnacentral:lncRNA from 1 species